AACGAACGCUGGCGGCAGGCCUAACACAUGCAAGUCGAGCGCGUAGCAAUACGAGCGGCGCACGGGAUAGUAACGCGUGGGAACCUACCUUUCGGUUCGGAAUAACAUCGGGAAACUGGUGCUAAUACCGGAUACGCCCUUCGGGGGAAAGAUUUAUUGCCGAUAGAUGGGCCCGCGUUGGAUUAGCUAGUUGGUGAGGUAACGGCUCACCAAGGCAACGACCCAUAGCUGGUCUGAGAGGAUGAUCAGCAUCACUGGGACUGAGACACGGCCCAGACUCCUACGGGAGGCAGCAGUGGGGAAUAUUGGACAAUGGGGGCAACCCUGAUCCAGCCAUGCCGCGUGAAUGAUGAAGGCCUUCGGGUUGUAAAGUUCUUUUGGUGGGGACGAUGAUGACGGUACCCACAGAAUAAGCUCCGGCUAACUUCGUGCCAGCAGCCGCAGUAA
rnacentral:rRNA from 1 species